rnacentral:rRNA from 1 species
UACGAGGGUGGCAAGCGUUAUCCGGAUUCACUGGGUUUAAAGGGUGCGUAGGUGGGUCUGUAAGUCCGUGGUGAAAUCUCCGAGCUUAACUUGGAAACUGCCAUGGAUACUAUAGGUCUUGAAUACUGUGGAGGUCAGCGGAAUAUGUCAUGUAGCGGUGAAAUGCUUAGAUAUGACAUAGAACACCAAUUGCGAAGGCAGCUGGCUACACAAAUAUUGACACUGAGGCACGAAAGCGUGGGGAUCAAACAGG